rnacentral:sRNA from 1 species
AAGACUUGCCAAUACUAGCCAAUCAAAUCCUUCCUUCAAUUUUAGAAAACAGGAAUUGCAUGUAAACAAGUCUGGGCCAACUCUUACAACCUGCUUUCUAUAUCCUCCUCCUCUGUUCUCCAUCUUUCCUAGUUCUUUCAGCCCCAGUGGUCAGGCUGAGCUGAGCAUGAGAGAGGGCCCUCGAGAGGCCCUGGAAGCAUAUUCCCUCAGCUCCUAAAUGAAGUCUCCAUAAGGUGACCCUAGGAGACUGUGCAGUAUGACUGGCCGCUUGUUUUAUCCCAGACUCUUUUCCAGGGUCUUACUUCUGUCAUCCAGACUGGAGUGCAGUAGUGCGAUCUCAGCUCACUGCAACCUCCUCCUCCCAGGUUUAAGCGACUCUCCUGCCUCAGCUUCUACAAUAACUGGGACCACAGGCUAUGAUUAAAAGUUUCAUGGAUGUCUACCAGCUUGCAAGCACUAGAAUCAUGACAUUAGAGAA